UACGUAGGGGGCAAGCGUUGUCCGGAUUUAUUGGGCGUAAAGCGCACGUAGGCGGAUCGUUAAGUCGGGGGUGAAAUCCUGGAGCUCAACUCCAGAACUGCCUUCGAUACCGGCGAUCUAGAGUCCGGAAGAGGUGAGUGGAACUCCUAGUGUAGAGGUGGAAUUCGUAGAUAUUAGGAAGAACACCAGUGGCGAAGGCGGCUCACUGGUCCGGUACUGACGCUGAUGUGCGAAAGCGUGGGGAGCAAACAGG
rnacentral:rRNA from 1 species